rnacentral:tRNA from 1 species
AGUAGAAUGGCUGAGAUAUAAAUAGGCGGUAGAUUGUAAAUCUAUUGAGGAGAAUUUUUCUUUUCUACUA